UAAAUGAUGAUUUCUUUCCCCGUCCGACACGACUGUGAUUGACAAGAUAAGAUUUAAUAUUUUAUUAAGCCAAAAACUCUGAUCC
rnacentral:snoRNA from 1 species